GAAAAGAAACCAACAGGGAUUGCCCUAGUAACGGCGAGUGAAGCGGCAACAGCUCAAAUUUGAMAUCUGGCUUCGGCCCGAGUUGUAAUUUGUAGAGGAAGCUUUAGGCGCGGCACCUUCUGAGUCCCCUGGAACGGGGCGCCAUAGAGGGUGAGAGCCCCGUAUAGUUGGAUGCCUAGCCUGUGUAAAGCUCCUUCGACGAGUCGAGUAGUUUGGGAAUGCUGCUCAAAAUGGGAGGUAAAUUUCUUCUAAAGCUAAAUAUUGGCCAGAGACCGAUAGCGCACAAGUAGAGUGAUCGAAAGAUGAAAAGCACUUUGAAAAGAGGGUUAAAUAGCACGUGAAAUUGUUGAAAGGGAAGCGCUUGUGACCAGACUUGCGCCGGGCGGAUCAUCCGGUGUUCUCACCGGUGCACUCCGCCCGGCUCAGGCCAGCAUCGGUUCUCGUGGGGGGAUAAAGGCCCUGGGAACGUAGCUCCUCCGGGAGUGUUAUAGCCCAGGGUGUAAUGCCCUCGCGGGGACCGAGGUUCGCGCAUCUGCAAGGAUGCUGGCGUAAUGGUCAUCAGCGACCCGUCUUGAAACACGGACCAAGGAGUCAAGGUUUUGCGCGAGUGUUUGGGUGUUAAACCCGCACGCGUAAUGAAAGUGAACGUAGGUGAGAGCUUCGGCGCAUCAUCGACCGAUCCUGAUGUAUUCGGAUGGAUUUGAGUAGGAGCGUUAAGCCUUGGACCCGAAAGAUGGUGAACUAUGCUUGGAUAGGGUGAAGCCAGAGGAAACUCUGGUGGAGGCUCGCAGCGGUUCUGACGUGCAAAUCGAUCGUCAAAUCUGAGCAUGGGGGCGAAAGACUAAUCGAACCAUCUAGUA
rnacentral:rRNA from 1 species